AAAGACUUGAGGGCCAAAUAGUGAUGGUUAGACAACCGGGUCAGAGUGUCUCCAAAACAGCCUUGUGAGAUGUUCGUACCAAAUGUGGUGCAAGGAAGAACAGGCGAGUAAGUUCAUGGGCACCCAAGGCUAGCGGAUGGACAUGGAGAGCGAAGACUAGCCCAUCUGGUCCGAUCACACAGAAGAGCUACUGGAGCUCAAAUUGCUGAAAAACGUAAUGCUGG